AUACGUAGGGGGCGAGCGUUGUCCGGAAUGAUUGGGCGUAAAGGGCGCGUAGGCGGCGCGGUAAGUCUGGAGUGAAAGUCCUGCUUUCAAGGUGGGAAUUGCUUUGGAUACUGCCGCGCUUGAGUGCAGGAGAGGUUAUCGGAAUUCCCGGUGUAGCGGUGAAAUGCGUAGAGAUCGGGAGGAACACCAGUGGCGAAGGCGGGUAACUGGACUGCAACUGACGCUGAGGCGCGAAAGUGUGGGGAGCAAACAGGAUUAGACACCCUGGUAGUCCACACUGUAAACGAUGAAUGCUAGGUGUAAGAGGUAUCGACCCCUUUUGUGCCGGAGUCAACACAAUAAGCAUUCCGCCUGGGGAGUACGGCCGCAAGGUUGAAACUCAAAUGAAUUGACGGGG
rnacentral:rRNA from 1 species